rnacentral:lncRNA from 1 species
GGAGAAAUAGAAAGGUCUUACUCAGACGGACCAAGGUGGCUUGAGAAUGGCAAGAACAGACCGUAGGUGUGAUUUAAAUAGCCGCUGGUCCCUUGAGGACUUUAGGGUAGCAUGAAUCUAGCAUGAGGAGAGCCAUGGAGGUUAGGGGUGCUGGUGGAACACCAUUAUUAACGGCGAGCCAAUGGCCGGCGAGUAGGAGCCAUGGUUUAGCAGAGAAAGAGAGCUUGAGAGAGAAUGAGAGGGUGUGACAGUGGAGAGUAAUGAGAGAAUGAUGGUUCUUUUUUGAGGGGGGCUAGUCUUUUAGGUUAAUUAUGGAAAGGGG